GAUGAACGCUGGCGGCAUGCCUAAUACAUGCAAGUCGAACGAGAGGAAGGAAAGCUUGCUUUCCUGAAUCUAGUGGCGAACGGGUGAGUAACACGUAAGUAACCUGCCCAUGUGCCCGGGAUAACUUCUGGAAACGGAUGCUAAAACCGGAUAGGUAGCAGACGAGCAUUUGACUGCUAUUAAAGUGGCCUUGGCCAUGAACAUGGAUGGACCUGCGGUGCAUUAGCUAAUUGGUGAGGUAACGGCCCACCAAGGCGACGAUGCAUAGCCGGCCUGGGAGGGCGGACGGCCACAUUGGGACUGAGACACGGCCCAAACUCCUACGGGAGGCAGCAGUAGGGAAUUUUCGUCAAUGGGGGGAACCCUGAACGAGCAAUGCCGCGUGAGUGAGGAAGGUCUUCGGAUCGUAAAGCUCUGUUGUAAGAGAAAAACGGCACUCAUAGGGAAUGAUGAGUGAGUGAUGGUAUCUUACCAGAAAGUCACGGCUAACUACGUGCCAGCCGCCGCUGUAACAC
rnacentral:rRNA from 1 species